rnacentral:rRNA from 1 species
CAGCAGCCGCGGUAAUACAGAGGAUGCAAGCGUUAUCCGGAAUGAUUGGGCGUAAAGCGUCUGUAGGUGGCCUUUCAAGUCCGCCGUCAAAUCCCAGGGCUCAACCCUGGACAGGCGGUGGAAACUACCAAGCUGGAGUACGGCAGGGGCAGAGGGAAUUUCCGGUGGAGCGGUGAAAUGCGUAGAGAUCGGAAAGAACACCAACGGCGAAAGCACUCUGCUGGGCCGACACUGACACUGAGAGACGAAAGCUAGGGGAGCAAAUGGGAUUAGAUACCCCCGUAGUCCCUGUCUCUUAUAC